UACGGAGGGUGCAAGCGUUAUCCGGAUUCACUGGUUUAAAGGGUGCGUAGGCGGGCAGGUAAGUCAGUGGUGAGAUCCCCGGGCUUAACUUGGGAACUGCCGUUGAUACUAUCUGUCUUGAAUAUCGUGGAGGUGAGCGGAAUAUGUCAUGUAGCGGUGAAAUGCUUAGAUAUGACAUAGAACACCCAUUGCGAAGGCAGCUCACUACACGAUAAUUGACGCUGAGGCACGAAAGCGUGGGGAGCAAACAGG
rnacentral:rRNA from 1 species